UACGGAGGAUCCAAGCGUUAUCCGGAUUUACUGGGUUUAAAGGGUGCGUAGGCGGGCCCUUAAGUCAGUGGUGAAAGCUCCGAGCUUAACUCGGAAACUGCCAUUGAUACUAUAGGUCUUGAAUUCGGGUCGAGGUUGGCGGAAUGUGUCGUGUAGCGGUGAAAUGCUUAGAUAUGACACAGAACACCGAUUGCGAAGGCAGCUAGCUAGACCGACAUUGACGCUGAGGCACGAAAGCGUGGGGAUCAAACAGGG
rnacentral:rRNA from 1 species